GCCUACAAAGAAAACAAGGUGAGAGUGUUUUGUCACAGAGCUCAACGUAGUCAACCUUCUCUCAUAAAGCUAAAUCCUCCUUUGGGUUCAUUUAAUGGAAUUCAGGUUUAUUACUUGUAGAAUGAAGUCUUUUUCCCCAUUACUCAGGCCCUCCAAACAUAUCUUUCCCAGGGGAAAAAAAAAAAAAAAGGCAGGAUAAAUUUAAUAAGCUAAUAGCAUAUUAAUUUGGCAUUUUUCUUACAGCCUUAGGAAGUCACAGCAAAGAGUUAGACAAGAUCAGCCCAUUUCAUCUCAGGGUGGUCAGAGCAUCUCACAGGGACAGGAUACUGGAGCUGGUGUGCAAGUGCCUGAUUCAACAGCAAUAUCCAAGAGCAGAUCCCUGCUGGGCUCCUUCAAAACUGAGGCCAUCAGGAAGAAGAUGCAUCAUCUGCCAACAUUCAGACCUCAGCUCUGUACAAGGAGAUGCACUUACUUAAAGUAGAAGCCUGCUGGGGGCAGCUCCGAGGCCGGCUCGUUGGCCACCGACCACAUCACAACUGAGGGCCUGUUCUUAUCCCUGCGGAUCAGCUCCUCCAUCACAGCCAGGUGGUGGUGCAAGGACUUGUUCCCAAAGCUCUCGCUUAAAGACAAGAGAAGGGCCUGCCGUUGAUGAGGAACUGGGUGCUGGUGACGUGGACGGUGCGGAUGCCGACCGGGAGCAUGUACACGUCCUCCAGCAACACCCCCUCCACCUGC